rnacentral:rRNA from 1 species
UAGGGAAUCUUCCGCAAUGGGCGAAAGCUUGACGGAGCAACGCCGCGUGAGUGAUGAAGGUCUUCGGAUCGUAAAACUCUGUUAUUAGGGAAGAACAAAUGUGUAAGUAACUAUGCACGUCUUGACGGUACCUAAUCAGAAAGCCACGGCUAACUACGUGCCAGCAGCCGCGGUAAUACGUAGGUGGCAAGCGUUAUCCGGAAUUAUUGGGCGUAAAGCGCGCGUAGGCGGUUUUUUAAGUCUGAUGUGAAAGCCCACGGCUCAACCGUGGAGAGUCAUUGGAAACUGGAAAACUUGAGUGCAGAAGAGGAAAGUGGAAUUCCAUGUGUAGCGGUGAAAUGCGCAGAGAUAUGGAGGAACACCAGUGGCGAAGGCGACUUUCUGGUCUGUAACUGACGCUGAUGUGCGAAAGCGUGGGGAUCAAACAGG